rnacentral:rRNA from 1 species
GGCACCUCGAUGUCGGCUCAUCACAUCCUGGGGCUGAAGUAGGUCCCAAGGGUAUGGCUGUUCGCCAUUUAAAGUGGUACGCGAGCUGGGUUUAGAACGUCGUGAGACAGUUCGGUCCCUAUCUGCCGUGGGCGCUGGAGAAUUGAGGGGGGCUGCUCCUAGUACGAGAGGACCGGAGUGGACGCAUCACUGGUGUUCGGGUUGUCAUGCCAAUGGCACUGCCCGGUAGCUAAAUGCGGAAGAGAUAAGUGCUGAAAGCAUCUAAGCACGAAACUUGCCCCGAGAUGAGUUCUCCCUGAGACUUUAAGUCUCCUGAAGGAACGUUAAAGACGAUGACGUUGAUAGGCCGGGUGUGUAAGCGCAGCGAUGCGUUGAGCUAACCGGUACUAAUGAACCGUGAGGCUUAACCUU